rnacentral:snRNA from 1 species
GUUUUCCCUCUGAGAACAUCCGAUAAAAUUGAAACUAUACAUAGAAAAUUAGCAUGACUCCUGCAUAAAGAUGACACGCACAAAUUAAGAAAUGGUCUAAAAAAUUUUU